rnacentral:sRNA from 1 species
AGUUUCCUGCGGGGCAGGGCGGCGCCGUCAGUGACGCCUGCCCUGGCCCGCAGUUCCACGAAUCCCCGACGGGAUGGCGCCAAGGAUGGCGCACU